CUUAAUUAGAUUGAGCCUUAGUAUAGAAACUUACUAAGUGAUGACUUUCAAAUUCAGGGGAACCCUGGAAUUAAUAAAAGGGGCAAUCCUGAUCCAAAUCCUUUUUAAAAAACUUAAAGGAUAGGUGCAGAGACUCAACGGAAGCUUUUCUAACAAAGGGAUUUGACUAAACUAACUACUUCAAUAUUCAUUGAAUUUAUUGAAUCAUUAAUUUAUUGAAUCAUUAAUUCCAUAAUAGAUUCUGAAUUUUGGAUUUUACGAACCAAACUUCUUAAUGGGACAAGAAUAAAGAGAGAGUCCUUUUCUACAUGUAAAUACAUACAAAAAUGAAAGUUUUAGUAAGAGGAAAAUCCGUCGACUUGAAAAAUCGUGAGGGUUCAAGUC
rnacentral:ncRNA from 1 species